AGCCCCGGCUAACUACGUGCCAGCAGCCGCGGUAAUACGUAGGGGGCAAGCGUUGUCCGGAAUAAUUGGGCGUAAAGGGCGCGUAGGCGGCUCGGUAAGUCUGGAGUGAAAGUCCUGCUUUUAAGGUGGGAAUUGCUUUGGAUACUGUCGGGCUUGAGUGCAGGAGAGGUUAGUGGAAUUCCCAGUGUAGCGGUGAAAUGCGUAGAGAUUGGGAGGAACACCAGUGGCGAAGGCGACUAACUGGACUGUAACUGACGCUGAGGCGCGAAAGUGUGGGGAGCAAACAGGAUUAGAUACCCUGGUAGUCCACACUGUAAACGAUGAAUGCUAGGUGUAGGGGGUAUCGACCCCUUCUGUGCCGCAGUCAACACAAUAAGCAUUCCGCCUGGGGAGUACGGCCGCAAGGUUGAAACUCAAAGGAAUUGACGGGGGCCCGCACAAGCAGUGGAGUAUGUGGUUUAAUUCGACGCAACGCGAAGAACCUUACCAAGUCUUGACAUCCCUUGACGAUGCUGGAAACAGUAUUUCUCUUCGGAGCAAGGAGACAGGUGGUGCAUGGUUGUCGUCAGCUCGUGUCGUGAGAUGUUGGGUUAAGUCCCGCAACGAGCGCAACCCUUAUCCUCAGUAGCCAGCAGGUAAAGCUGGGCACUCUGUGGAGACUGCCAGGGAUAACCUGGAGGAAGGUGGGGAUGACGUCAAAUCAUCAUGCCCCUUAUGAUCUGGGCUACACACGUGCUACAAUGGCGUAAACAAAGGGAGGCAAAGCCGCGAGGUGGAGCAAAUCCCAAAAAUAACGUCUCAGUUCGGACUGCAGUCUGCAACUCGACUGCACGAAGCUGGAAUCGCUAGUAAUCGCGAAUCAGAAUGUCGCGGUGAAUACGUUCCCGGGUCUUGUACACACCGCCCGUCACACCAUGGGAGUCAGUAACGCCCGAAGUCAGUGACCCAACCGUAAGGAGGGAGCUGCCGAAGGUGGGACCGAUAACUGGGGUGAAGUCGUAACAAGGUAGCCGUAUCGGAAGGUGCGGCUG
rnacentral:rRNA from 1 species